rnacentral:rRNA from 1 species
GACGAACGCUGGCGGCGUGCUUAACACAUGCAAGUCGAACGGUAAGGCCCUUCGGGGUACACGAGUGGCGAACGGAUGAGUAACACGUGGGUGAUCUGCCCUGCACUUCGGGAUAAGCCUGGGAAACUGGGUCUAAUACCGGAUAGGACCACUGCCUGCAUGGGUGGUGGUGGAAAGCAUUUGCGGUGUGGGAUGGGCCCGCGGCCUAUCAGCUUGUUGGUGGGGUGAUGGCCUACCAAGGCGACGACGGGUAGCCGGCCUGAGAGGGUGACCGGCCACACUGGGACUGAGAUACGGCCCAGACUCCUACGGGAGGCAGCAGUGGGGAAUAUUGCACAAUGGGCGCAAGCCUGAUGCAGCGACGCCGCGUGAGGGAUGACGGCCUUCGGGUUGUAAACCUCUUUCAGCACCGACGAAGCGCAAGUGACGGUAGGUGCAGAAGAAGGACCGGCCAACUACGUGCCAGCCGCCGCUGUAA